rnacentral:lncRNA from 1 species
AGAACUGGUGAGUCCCUCCCCCGGGGAAUGUGGAAUCGCCUGUGUUCUUCCCACCUCAAUGAAGACCCUACCUCCAGGAGGUGAGGAAGAGGCAGGAUGGGGUUUGGGAUCCUAGACCCCACAGAGGCUGCCAGCGGGGGGUGGGGGGGCUGCUUGAAAUCACUCAGAAUGUCGUCAUACAUUUAAUUGUGCUACUCCCCUACCGCCCGAUCACAGCCGUUGUAAUACUACAGUAACUUGUGCUUUCGGAAGCUUCGGGUUCUUUAUUUCUUUGAUUAGUUUACUGGUCUAUUUAGCACCGUGUGGAUGACAGCAAAAUGCGCACGGAGCCUACCGACGGUGCGUCUGGCUUUUCUUGAGAGGUUGGAAGAUAACGUGUAACGCGGGUCACGUUUAGCGUCAAACCUGUGGCCCGGCCUCGUUUUCUUUUUUUUUUUUUCAACGUUUAUUUAUUUUUGGGACAGAGAGAGACAGAGCAUGAACGGGGGAGGGGCAGAGAGAGAGGGAGACACAGAAUCGGAAACAGGCUCCAGGCUCCGAGCCAUCAGCCCAGAGCCCGACGCGGGGCUCGAACUCACGGACCGCGAGAUCGUGACCUGGCUGAAGUCGGACGCUUAACCGACUGCGCCACCCAGGCGCCCCAACCGGCCUCGUUUUCGAAUGAAAACGAGGUGCUUCUCCCGAAGGACCCCUCUGGCUCCCACUGUAAACUUAAUGCGAAUGAGAGAAAGCCUCCCAGCUUAAGGGACAGAUUUGAGUUCCUGCCGAGGGACCCAGCUCGGUGAGCCACGCGAGGCUGGGUUUGAGCUCCCACCGCCUUACAAGUGUGAGCACUUGUGUCCGGCCUUCCCUUCUGAGUUCCCAGCUCACAUCUGCCCCAAACACGCACACACGUGCACGCACACACACACACACACACACUCGCCCUCACACUUUGAAGUCGCUGGAAUGGCCCCAGAUGUUUCUUCCAAGGCUAAACCAUCCAUUACCCUUCUCCCUCUUCCCUUCCUUUCUCCUUCCUCUUCUCCUCCUUUUUCUCCUCUUCCUCCUCCUUUCUCUCCCCCUCUGUCUCGCUUCUGCAUCAAUAACGGUGAACGUUUAUAUAAGUCUGAAAUCCAGCCAACCUGAAGAUUCCCCUCCAACGGUUUAGGGCUGGGGCCACACCGAGAGGUCACUGUCGCUCAGCGUCUUAUCACUGAGCUGUUCCUUUGAGUCUGUUCCCUAUGCUAAGCGGUUAUUAGUAGAAAUAGGAUGCGGUGGGGUGGGGGAGCGGAGACAGAAUGAGCAAUUGAGUCGGGCCCACCUGCCAGGGGCUCCCGCUGUCAUCCUUCACAGGUAAAUGACACAUACAGGCUUAAAAAAACAACUCUCCCAUUUUCUUAUAGCACAUUUUUUUUUUGUUUGUUUGUCAGAUUACAUGUUCAAUCAAUUGUGACAAGUCGCGGCGCUAUGCAAGGCAUCACGUAAUCCAGGGUAAACCCUGGGCUCCACGGGCAGCCGGGAAGCCAAUCCACGCUGCUCUCUAAAGGCUAUUACCUGCCGUGGCGGGAAAAAGCGUUAACAAGGGUUUGUUUGUUUUUUUCCAAAUGACUUUCCAUGGCAGGGAGGGAAACAGACUGUGUUGCCCAAGAGAAAGUGGUUAAUUUUAUUUUGUAUGAUGUUAUUUUAUUUUAUUUUAUUUUAUUUUAUUUUAUUUUAUUUUAGCAGCUGCAGGCAGUGGAAAAGUGGGUAUUACAAUCCUAGUACAUCUCUAAUUAAUAAGAUCAGUUGCCUCUGUAUUUUCUUUUACAAACUCAUUUAGAUAUGUCAGGCUGCAAUUAUUUUGAGAAUGAUCUGGCUUUAUGCUUAUUCAUCUUUCCUCUUCCUCAAGGAGAAAAUAAAACUGUCAGCUUAAAUGCCCUUUGAAGUCUGGUUUAGAUCCUUGAUUGAAAAUUAAAAACAAAGUCUCUAGCCUAGUGCCAUUUACAGGGUCAAAGUUCCUGUCCUCACAUUGCGGUGUGUGUGUGUGUGUGUGUGUGUGUGUGUGUGUGUGAGGGAGAGAGAGAGAGAGAGAGAGAGAGAGAGAGAGAGAGUUCUGUUCUUAAAAGGGCCACACGCUGGUUUUCUAAUAACAUGUUACAUCCCUUUGCUUUAACUCCCUGGAUCUACAAGAACUUCAGAGUCUCGUGUUAUUUUAAAACUGAGAAGCACUGGGCCGUCAUUUGGUUGAUCUGUUGUUUCUCGUUUCCGAGGAUGUCUCUCCAAACGAACGUCAUAAAACUCUCGCUGUGGACCCGGACAAUGGUUUGGGAAGCUUUGCUCAACACUUCCAUGCCUCCUGCAAUCAUUACCCACCCAUUCGGCAUGCCCGGAAUCCGUCCCCACUGCUGGGGACCCAGCCUUCACCUCCGCGCCCCCCCCCCCCCCCCCCCCCCCGCCCCCCCGCCGGGUGGGAAGCGCCCACAUUCCCUUCUCCCAGUCCCUGUGCCCAGCUCAGCCGCAGAAAGGCCGAGAACCCGUCUGGUCUGGUCGCUCGUCCCCCUUGGAGAAGCCUCCCACAGAUGCAGACAAAUAAGCCCCGUCAUCCCCUGCAGUGCCAGAGGAAUGCUUCUAGACUCCAUCUGGGGACGAUGAACCCAAACUGUUUCGGGAGAUUUAAACCUUUUCUUGGAGGAGACACAGAGGCUGGCAGGAGGCUAGCAACCCGAGCAAACGGCACUGAAGCCCAAGCAGCCGCCUCUCCCGGGCCAUACCUCCUCCGCCGGCUUCUCCCGCUCCCGCCUUCUGUCUGAUUUGUCUUUACGGUUUUCACAUUAUCCCUCUGUUGACAAAUGAACGCUUUUCUGGAAAACGAGGUGUUUCCAGAAGCGGGCAGACGCUGUCUGCAGCGCCGUAAGUGCUCAGCAGUGCUCUGGCUCACUCGAUUCAUUAUUUGAACGGGAGAGGCCUGGAGGUUUUGCGCAAGCAUCACAUUCAAGGUGAUGAUAAAUGCAGUCUGGCCCGGGUGGUAAUAAGGGGAUUUCUAGCCAGGUCCUGUCUAGACCACGGUUUGUUAGGGAGCGAAACCCCUGAAUGGUGGGGCGGGGGGUGGGGGGGGGGGUGCGUAGCACCCCGCUCCUCGGAGAAAUUGUCCUCAGGGAUCUCCAGGCACAUUGCAAGGCCAAACCUGCGUCCGGCCCCUCACUGGGGCUGCUGUAAAUAACAUUAGCUUGUCUUUCAGCAAGCUCUGGGAAGCUUAUAAACCGAACACGGUUUUUGUUGUCUGUAGUUGCGCAUUAAGCUCGGGACUGUCAAGUCUAAUUAUUCUCAUUAAGGCCUGAAAGUUUUAGGGAUUAAUUAAGCAGAGAGCGAAAGCUUAUCCAGAGCGGCAAUAUUUUCCCCCUCAAGGAUUAGCCCGUCAUUCUGGUGGGGUCUUCCUUGAGCAUUGGCCAUUACUUUCUCAGAUAGGAAAAGUGUGGAGCUCACGUACCGUGGUGCAGCAACAGCCUACAUUUUGCAUGUGCUAUUCAGCCCUGAAAAUGAGUCCUAGCCCUUGUGCCCAUAACCCAGAAGGCUCGUUAAUGAGAACCAGGCAGUGGGGCUAAUGAGAAAUUCAAUACGCGAUGUCUCUCCUUCCCAUUUCCUCCCAAUUUACUUUCUACAGGAUCCAACGUGUGCAGGAGGAGUCUGAGUCGAUGCCAGUCUUCUUGUUUUUACUCAGUGGGGAUCUUAGAAAUGAUCUAAUUCUAUCCCCUCUUGCUAGAGACGUAGACACGGAGAUCCAGCGACUGGCUCGGAGGGCCAUAGUUAUUGACAAAGCUCCUUUAAGAGACCACGGCGGGAAAGUUCUGGAAGCACUGAUGAAGGACAUCGGGAUGGUGAGGGUCCUCAGCCCUUAGGGUUUGCUGUGACCCAAAAUGCAGCGGAAAUGAGAUGGUCCCACAGUAAAGAAGAUGAUGGGAAGGGACUAAUUUGCAUGUGAGCCCCAGGGAACUCUGGGAUGUUACAAAGUGUCAGCAGAUUUCCUACAGGAUUUCAGGGCUUCCUGAAGAAAUGGAGAACAGGGGAUGGGUAGUCAGGUCCUGGACCUGCCACAAGUAAAAAGAAAAGACCGAUGUGGGAAAUCACUCUCUUAUCACAUUAGCUCAAGUCUGCAGCAGGUCAGAGGUGGGUAUUUCUGCCAUCUAUCUCUUGCACUUCCAUAAAGGCACCACUCCUGUCCGGUGACUUGAAAUGGAGCAGUUCCUGCCUCCUUGCUCCCAAAUCCACUCACUCCCUUAUCUCUUGAGAUUGGCCUCCGGUGCGUGCCUAGGACUGGGCGUGAGCAGUGCCAGAACCCCUAGGGUUUACCUGCCCCGAGUUGUGUGGCUUGCAUCUACGGGAGCAGGAACACCACUACUCCCCUGCACCCUGCUGUACCUGGCUGGCUCCCCCUUCCAUCCCAGCAUCCAUCCGCUAGCCAUACCCGGAGACUACCCAACGUCCUGUGGUCCUGUAGGUGGCUGGAGACAACACCCUCUAUGGAUACCAUUUGGAAGACAGCUGGGAGGAACGAGGUUGGCUGCCAUAUUGGAUCAGAUACCUUAAUAUAUCCUCCUCUCUUGCCUCUGAGGAGCUUGUUUUGGCUCCUCAAACAAGGCAGUUGUCAAGGCUGAGUUCACUGGGCAGGACUCUGCCCCAAGAGGACUGGUUGGUGAGGCUGAGUGUGCCAGCAAAGAUGGGAGCAACAACUUUCCAAGAGCAUUGCCAAAGGGGACCAAGCCAGCAGCAGCCUCCACCACCACCACCAUCGGCUGGGCACCGUUGCCCGAAUGUCACAUGUCUUUCUACCUUCUUUGCUCGUAAGAGCUAUCACUCCUUCUCCAAUUCCCCAGGGCACUUUACUUUCACCCUUCUUGCUUUCUACAUUCUGUAUUCACUUAUACAUCAUUUUAUGAGCUAUACGUCCCAGAGGCUCUCAUUGCCUCAUUUAUUUUUGCUUCCCCAUGGCCCGUGCUGUAUCCCUGCAAAAUUCAGAAGCCCAAAGCACCAACGUGAUGGCAUCUACAGGUGGGGUCUUUGGGAGGUAAUGCGGAUUAGAUGAGGUGGUAAGAGUGGGGCCAUGAUGGGAUUGGUGCCCUUAUAAAGAGGAUGAGACAGGAGGUCUCCUCUCUCUCUCUCUCUCUCUCUCUCUCUCUCUAUCUCUACUUGCACUCACCUAGGGUAGGCCAUGUGAGCUCAUAGCCAGGAAGAAGGUCUCACCUGAAACCACAUCAGAGGGCACCCCGAUCUCAUACUUCUCGGCCUCCAGCCUGAGAAAUAAAUGUAGGUCAUUGACAUCA